AAAAUAUGAAAACCCACUCGUGGUGACCUUUGUCCCCACGAGUAUAAUCUAAAUACCACAUCUUGUGAACCGUACCGUCUUUGGUGGUGGGUGGACGCUGCGGUCAGCAGCGCGCCAUCUGUCAGCUUGGAUCGAAAGCUCCGGGCCGUGGACAAGCCACCGCAUGUAUUCAAACCUUUGCUUGCUGUUUUUGUCUGACGAUUCAUUCUGUAUUAAAUAUACAAA
rnacentral:misc_RNA from 1 species